rnacentral:rRNA from 1 species
UACGGAGGGGACUAGCGUUGUUCGGAAUUACUGGGCGUAAAGCGCACGUAGGCGGAUUUGUAAGUCAGGGGUGAAAUCCCGGGGCUCAACCUCGGAACUGCCUUUGAUACUGGCGAUCUUGAGUUCGGGAGAGGUGAGUGGAACUCCGAGUGUAGAGGUGAAAUUCGUAGAUAUUCGCAAGAACACCAGUGGCGAAGGCGGCUCACUGGCCCGAUACUGACGCUGAGGCACGAAAGCGUGGGGAGCAAACAGGG